rnacentral:lncRNA from 1 species
GGCGUCGUAGUCUCUGUUCCCAGCGGAGAGUGUGGGGGCUCAGCCAUGAGGCCGUUCCUCUCGGCAGGCUCGCUGUUCUUGAGGGUGGAGCUGGGAUGCCAACUAUGUCUGUCUAAUUUCAGUUCUGUUUCCUUAGGCGCAGGUGGUGCCAUCUGUGAUCACAGUCCUAGGAGAGGAGUCUGCUCCUGACCUUCCACGGAGCAAAUCAAGACAUGGCUUGAGUCUGCACUGCUUCUGGCUUGUUUUCACUGGAACAGCAAUUUCUAGAGGUUCUAGAGCCAAUGAGAGCCAAGGCCGACCUGUUCAUUUCCACACACCUGCUUCAUGACCUGGGAAUAACCAGGAUUCAGCUCUGUGCUGUAAGGGGUACACACAAUCUUACAAAUAACGACGAUAAUGAUGGCAGCAAUAAUAAUGCGAAUGGCAGCUGACAUUCUCUGAGAGCUUCCUCUGAGCCCUUUGUAUGCAUGACACUCACAUGGACCCUGCGAUAGGUGCCAUGAUUUUUACCUCUCAUGGGUUGGGGAAACCAAGGCACAAAAUGGUUAGGUGACUUGCCUGACGUCACACGUCUAGGAAGUGGUGUUGCUGCCAUGCAGACCCAGGUGAUCCUGGUUUCGUGUUGGGACAUUGCUGCUCCUGUUAUUUGCAGGCAUUCUUGCUGGAGAACCAAUCCUGGGAGAGGGGCUUCUUGA